CGGCGGACGGGUGAGUAACACGUGGGUAACCUACCUAUAAGACUGGGAUAACUUCGGGAAACCGGAGCUAAUACCGGAUAAUAUUUCGAACCGCAUGGUUCGAUAGUGAAAGAUGGUUUUGCUAUCACUUAUAGAUGGACCUGCGCCGUAUCAGCUAGUUGGUAAGGUAACGGCUUACCAAGGCGACGAUACGUAGCCGACCUGAGAGGGUGAUCGGCCACACUGGAACUGAGACACGGUCCAGACUCCUACGGGAGGCAGCAGUA
rnacentral:rRNA from 1 species